rnacentral:rRNA from 4 species
UCCGACCUCAGAUCGGACGAGAUUACCCGCUGAAUUUAAGCAUAUAACUAAGCGGAGGAAAAGAAACUAACAAGGAUUUCCCCAGUAACGGCGAGUGAAGCGGAAAAAGCCCAGCACCGAAUCCCUCAGUGUCAUGCUGACGGGAACUGUGGUGUGUGGGACGCCACCAGUCGCAUCAGCGGGCGCCGAAGUCCUCCUGAUCGAGGCUUCACCCAGAGCGGGUGUAAGGCCUUUGCAGGUGCCUCGCUGUGCGGCCGCGAGCGCCCUAGGAGUCGGGUUGUUUGGGAAUGCAGCCCAAAGCGGGUGGUAAACUCCAUCU